AUGGCCGUAUAUGUCUAUUGUGGUUGUGCCCUUGAGGCGUGGCUUCCGGAGCUAACGCGUUAAAUCGACCGCCUGGGGAGUACGGCCGCAGGUUAAAACUCAAAUGAAUUGACGGGGGCCCGCACAAGCGGUGGAGCAUGUGGUUUAAUUCGAUGCAACGCGAAGAACCUUACCUACUCUUGACAUCCAGAGAACUUAGCAAAGAUGCUUUGGUGCCUUCGGGAACUCUGAGACAGGUGCUGCAUGGCUGUCGUCAGCUCGUGUUGUGAAAUGUUGGGUUAAGUCCCGCAACGAGCGCAACCCUUAUCCUUUGUUGCCAGCGGUUCGGCCGGGAACUCAAAGGAGACUGGCAGUGAUAAACUGGAGGAAGGUGGGGAUGACGUCAAGUCAUCAUGGCCCUUACGAGUAAGGCUACACACGUGCUACAAUGGCGUAUACAAAGAGAAGCGACCUCGCGAGAGCAAGCGGAACUCAUAAAGUACGUCGUAAUCCGGAUUGGAGUCUGCAACUCGACUCCAUGAAGUCGGAAUCGCUAGUAAUCGUAGAUCAAAAUGCUACGGUGAAUACGUUCCCGGGCCUUGUACACACCGCCCGUCACACCAUGGGAGUGGGUUGCAAAACAAGUACGUAACUUAACCUUCGGGAGGGCGCUUACCACUUUGUGAUUCAUGACUGGGGUGAAGUCAUAAC
rnacentral:rRNA from 1 species